rnacentral:rRNA from 1 species
UGCGUAGGUGGGCAGGUAAGUCAGUGGUGAAAUCUCUAAGCUUAACUUAGAAACUGCCGUUGAUACUAUCUGUCUUGAAUAUAGUGGAGGUGAGCGGAAUAUGUCAUGUAGCGGUGAAAUGCUUAGAUAUGACAUAGAACACCCAUUGCGAAGGCAGCUCGCUACGCUAUUAUUGACACUGAUGCACGAAAGCGUGGGGAUCAAACAGGAUUAGAUACCCUGGUAGUCCACGCCCUAAACGAUGGAUACUCGACAUCAGCGAUACACUGUUGGUGUCUGAGCGAAAGCAUUAAGUAUCCCACCUGGGAAGUACGACCGCAAGGUUGAA